rnacentral:lncRNA from 1 species
GUACCUAUUUCAGCAAUAUGAAGUUAAAACCAGGUGAGAAAGGGAAAAUAGGAUGGCACUUAUUGCACUGGUACCACCCAGAAUCACAUGGAGUAGAGGCUUGGAUCCACAGAAAUGAUGACAUUUGCUGUUAAUAAACAAAAUGUUAGCUCUAAUGAGUAUAAAGGGAAGAAACCUGUGAUAGAAAAGGAGACCUCUGUCAUAACCGUAUUCAUUUUCAACGGAGUGUUUUGGGCUUUGCAUAAGUACAAAUAUAAAUGUGAGAUUGAACCUCCUAAUACAGUCAAAUGAUCCAGGGUACAGUGUAGCAGCUAAUAACAGCUCAAAUUCUGUAAUCAUCACCUCUAUCUGAAUUCUAGUUUCACCCAUUGUGAACUGCAUCAUUGUGGGCAAGUAAGUGUUUAACUACUUAAAAUCAACUUUCUAAUCAGUAAAGUUGUAAUAGUAAUAGUAAAAUCAGCAUGGUUUUGGAAAGAUUAACUAUUUGAUAUAAUAGUAUAUUUUAUUAGCUAUUAUUUGUAUUAUUAUGGCUGUUAAUUUUACUCUGGAAGACAAUGGGAGAGUUAUUCUUACCCCUCAUUGACCAUAAACAACAACUGAACAUAAACAUUAUUACAUGUAUAUCAUCC